rnacentral:rRNA from 1 species
UACAGAGGUCUCAAGCGUUGUUCGGAUUUACUGGGCGUAAAGGGCGCGUAGGCGGCCAUUCAAGUCAGCUGUGAAAUCUCCGGGCUUAACUCGGAACGGUCAGCUGAUACUGCUUUGCUAGAGUGCAGAAGGGGCAAUCGGAAUUCUUGGUGUAGCGGUGAAAUGCGUAGAUAUCAAGAGGAACACCUGAGGUGAAGACGGGUUGCUGGGCUGACACUGACGCUGAGGCGCGAAAGCUAGGGUAGCAAACGGG